rnacentral:lncRNA from 1 species
GGAGAUGAUGAGAGAUUUGGGGUUUGAGAGUUGAUAGCAAGCGAGAGAUGGAGAGAUGGAGAGAUGACGAGUGAGAGUGCCUGAGAUUCUUCAUGAGGAAGAUCUUUGGUUUUCUGGGUUCGCUAGGUAUUCCUCUCACCUUCCCAAUAAUCCUUUUUUUUUUUUUUUUUUAAAAACAAGCACUUAAGCAUUUUAAAACUUAAGGCG